AGAUACUCCCAAUGGAGAU
rnacentral:snRNA from 1 species